rnacentral:sRNA from 1 species
GAGGUAAGCAAACUAGGGUUGCAAUCUGUAAAGACAUGACAAAUUAUAACUGAGAGUGAGAGAGCCCUCCAGGCGAGGUGUGCAGUGAAAUUGUCAACACUCUUUAAGAGGCCCAGCUGGAGGCUGCCUAGACCCUGUGAUCUCUGGCCUCCGAUUGCCUUUUUUUUUUCCCUCUUCUUCCUUCCUGAAGCACUAACAUCAACCACAGGUGGUAAGUGGCAGCCAAUUAUGUUCUCGCUUUCAAAAUUAAUAGCAUUAAGCAGCCUGAAAGUCUCACAGCCUUGGCCUGCGUCUGUUAAGUAUUAGGUCAUUGCUGUGCUCACCCUUUCCCACUAGGAACACAUUAAAUUCGGCUGUCUCAGAGUGGGAUACCUGGAGAGUUGGCACCCGCUGUGUGAAGAGUUCUUUUGCUGGGGUCAUCUGCUUCCCAGGCCUGCUGGGGCCGGGAAUGGGCAUAGGCCCAUGUGACUGGUGGCACACAGCUGUGCUCACUUCGCCUGUUUCUGCCUUGGGAUUCCUGAGACAAAGAAAUUCUACUUUUUAGAAAAGGGGCACCGAAGAAGGAACCUUGAGCCCCAUGCAUGCUGGGUAUCUUCGCAAUGCAAUCAAGAUUUCAACACAGGAAGUUCUUGGAAACAUAUUUGAACCACAUAGCAGAGAACUGAGGCAUUUGGAUUAAAUUUCAGAUAUACACGGCAUAGUGUACAAUUGCUGGAUCAUAUAUGAAACAUCAUGUAGUUUUGUAUAAAGCCAUCAAAUGAUACUAUUUUUCACUGGAGUUUCUGUUACCUCAUAUCUUCAGCUCUUGUAUUAUCAGGGUUUUCUCCAUUUUAAUAGGUCUGUAAUUUGUAUUUCCUUUUACUUUCAUCUUGUUUUUAUUUUAUUAUAUAUUACUAUCUUAUUUUUAAAAAAUUUUAUAUGCCCUUUAACAUCUCUUGUUCAGUGCCUCAUUUUUAAUCAGGUUUUCUUAUUGUUGAAUGUAAAGAAUUAUUUCUAUAUUUUGGAUAACAGUCUGUUCUACAUUUUGUACAUGUUUUCUUCCAA